GACGAACGCUGGCGGCGUGCCUAACACAUGCAAGUCGAGCGGUAAGGCCCUUUCGGGGGGACACGAGCGGCGAACGGGUGAGUAACACGUGGGUGACCUGCCCCUUGCUCUGGGAUAAGCCUGGGAAACUGGGUCUAAUACCGGAUAUGACCCUAUGGCGCAUGUUGUGGGUGGAAAGCCUUUGUGCGGCUGAGGAUGGGCCCGCGGCCUAUCAGCUUGUUGGUGGGGUGAUGGCCUACCAAGGCGA
rnacentral:rRNA from 1 species